rnacentral:lncRNA from 1 species
GUUAGUAUUCAAACACAGUUAUUACAAUUUUAGAAGGAGUAGACAUGGACGCAAAUUAUUAAAGCGUCAUCCACACAUUUUGGCAAUUUAUAUUUUGAAAUUGGUUUUGUUCUUAAAUUAAUAUAUGGAUUAGCAUUUAAUAUUGAAUUCGGAAAGAACAUGCAUGUUGACAGAAAAUAAAAUGUUUUCCCAUAUUCCAUGUUUUAGUUCCCACGACACUGUCAUAGAAUCGUCAGAUCUGAGAACAUUUAGCACCGCAGUUUUAAAGGCCUGUUUGGUUUCCCAAUAGCAAGUCACUGACUUUGCCUUGUUUAAACAAUGGUAAAUCAAGUAGCCAAAAAUACAAUGCAUAUUCAGGACAACAAAUGAGCUGCUCGGUUUUCUAGUUUUGGAAUUUUGAAAUAAUGGUUCUCUUUUCUGGAACAUUGAUUAAACUCCAAAAGUUGGCAUUCUCAUGACACAACUAUUAACCCUUUGUCUUUAUAUAUUAGACUGUUGAAUAAAAGUAUGUCGAAAUAUAGGUGUGUCGGAAUAAUGGGGUUGUCUUGAUACACAUAUCUGAAGUCCAGACUUGAAAUAUGUAUUUGAACGCAAAACAUAUUUUAUUUAUUCAAGAUUUUCUGUCGAAAAUAACCUCUUUAAAAUGACUUAGUUUAUUAACAUAUGCUUAUUAAGUUUAUUAUGUAUAUGGCUCUCCGC